rnacentral:lncRNA from 1 species
AGGAAGUUCAAUAGAACACUUUCUGUGCUAGCAGAGUGUGCACUUCACCAGGAGAACGCGGUGGCAGGACUGACGGAGGCGGUGAAUCGAUUGGCUCAAGGAUCAGCUGGAGAAGCGACGCCGACCCAGGUCUCCGCACCCGCGGCAGCGAGCUUGACUGCAGCGAUUCCCCUGCCUGCCACUCCGGCUCCAGAUCUGGCGGCGGAGGCCGGUUGGGACGCUACCAGUGAUGUAUUUAUUCGCGGUCUCUCCAGCCGCGUAAAAGACUGCCUAGCGGCAAGGGAUCUACCCAGUGACUUGAACGCGCUGAUCGCGCUAGUAAUUCAAAUUGAUCGCAGGCUGGGAAAAAAACGAGCGGGAGCAUCAAAGGGAGGAGAGAAUGAGAGAGGAUCCCCGACUCAGGACCGCGAGUCCCAGGAGGGGACAACGGGGGUUUGGCGGCCAGUUCACUCCGCGCAACCCGGAAGUAGGACAGACACCGGAGGAGCCGAUGCAGAUCGGGCACGCACGACUCACGGAGGAGGAGAGGCGACGACGGCGCUCCCAUCGGCUCUGCAUGUACUGUGGGCAGGCGGGACACUUUGCAGUGAGUUGUCCACUAAAAGAGCAGGCUCAUCGCUAGCGUGGAGGGUAGCGGUGAGCCGAACGGUGCUUGGCAGUGCCUUCACUCGUUCUUUACCCACAGUAACCUUAGUCUCCAGAACCCGUUCAGUCCAGCAGGCGGUGCUGAUUGACUCCGGCACUGAUGCCAGUCUGAUGGACGCAGGGCCGGUGGAACGUAUGGGCAUCGCUUUUCUGCCGUUGGCAUCACCAGUGGAGACGGCGGCGCUGGAUGGACGGCGACUCUGGAGGGUCACGCACCAUACUGAACUGGUAACCAUGACCUUCGCAGAUGCACAUACAGAAAGGAUCACAUUCCUUGUGGUGGAGUCUUGUUACUAUCCUGUAGUGUUAGGACACACAUGGUGAAGAUUACAUAACCCGACGUUAGACUGUAGGAGUGGAGAGGUGAACUGGUG